rnacentral:rRNA from 1 species
CACACCGCCCGUCACACCAUGGAAGUCUGCUGCACCAGAAGUAGGUAGUCUAACCGCAAGGAGGGCGAUUACCACGGCAGGGUUCGUGACUGGGGUG